rnacentral:lncRNA from 1 species
GGAAGUCACAAAUGAGCCUCUUUAUGAAUAAAAGUUUAGUGUAGAGUUACUUUAUAAGGGUUUUGUCACAUGGGGGGGAAUAUAACUACUUUGAAUGAGAAAUGACGGAAACUACAUUUUAAACUUACAUCAAUGAUUUUAUACUUUACAGUUUUAUUGGCAGUCCUGGAAGUUGUGAAUGGUUGUGUCAGUUGAACUUAUGGGCCAAGAUUUUAGAACAGCAGGUGAAAUUUCUGUUGAGAGUAAUUUUAAUUGGGUCCUAAAUUUGUAUAACAAUUUGUGGACAAAAAUAGAGAAAAAAAUAAAUUGAAUUUCGUCCAUCAAUGUGACCUGAUAAGAUCCAUACUCUUUUCUUCCAUUUUACACACAAUUUUUUUGAAUUCUGGUUGCUGAUUUCAAAAAGGAAACAACUUUGGUUUGGUAUGUCCUCUGAAUAACUCCUGCUUUCCGUGGAAGUGUCUUCAUUGGUGCUAAGGGAAUAUGACAACUAUACAAGAUUCAUGAAAAAGUUUUUUGGUUUUGUUUUUUCUGUUCUAAUAAAACAAGAAAUCAAUUUGCCUGGGACAACAUACAUAAUUAGUAAUUAUACUAAAAUGAAGAGACCAGAGUAUUUAAAAGAUUAAAAUAACUUUUGGGGGAUGUUAUCAGAUCAAUAGUGUAUCAAUUACUAUUAUUUCUGUACUUCAAAAAAUCCAUGUUUUCACCUGUGUGGCCUCCAUUGAUUUCCUCUAUUGAUACAGAUUAUAACCUCUAUGUGUUUUAGUAGAUGAUCUUCAUGAGUUACUGUGGUAAAAAGAAAUCUACCUAGUAUCCAAACUUUCUAACCAGGCUGAUUCGCAUGUGAUAGUUAUCUGGGGUUAGUACCAUGUCCUUGGUGAAAGUUUUUCGUUUAGAUAAGACUUGGCAUAGAGUAGGUCUCCUAGCAAAAACCUUUGAGAAACUAGGAUUAUAUGAGACUUUGGUGGAGAAUUAAACACCAGUAACAUUUUCAUUCUUUUGAAACAAACCAGAAAGGUAAACUUUUCUAAAUAGAGAAGAUUGAUGGGCAGUAUUUCUGUUUGGUAUAUAGAGUAUCUUUCAAAAAUAAUCAGAUGAUCAAUUCUUUUUCCAUUUUGAGAUAAUGAAAUGUGGUAAAUGAUAUGCAGCACAAUAACUGCAUUUUAAAAUAGUACAGUUAUCCCUUCCACAUUUUAGAAAGUUAGGGGCAUAGUACUGGUGUGAUUUGGAAAAUCCACAUAUCCUUCCCCCCACAAACCCCCUUCAUAACAGAAAUCUGAAUUUUCUCUUCCAUAUUUUAGUGGAGUAUUUACAGUAACUUAUUGUAAAGUUGGAAUUAGGCAGUUCUGAGUUCUAAACUUU